rnacentral:rRNA from 2 species
ACCUCGGAUCAGGUAGGGAUACCCGCUGAACUU